rnacentral:rRNA from 1 species
UAGAGUUUGAUCCUGGCUCAGGAUGAACGCUAGCGACAGGCUUAACACAUGCAAGUCGAGGGGCAGCGGGGAGGUAGCAAUACUUCCGCCGGCGACCGGCGCACGGGUGAGUAACACGUAUGGAACCUGCCCGUAGCAGGGGGAUAAGCGGAAGAAAUUCCGUCUAAUACCGCGUAAUAACUCCGAGAGGCAUCUCAUGGAGUUUAAAGGGUAAUACCGGCUACGGAUGGCCAUGCGGCGCAUUAGCUAGUUGGCGGGGUAACGGCCCACCAAGGCGACGAUGCGUAGGGGUUCUGAGAGGAAGGUCCCCCACACUGGUACUGAGACACGGACCAGACUCCUACGGGAGGCAGCAGUGAGGAAUAUUGGUCAAUGGGCGCGAGCCUGAACCAGCCAAGUCGCGUGAGGGAAGACGGUCCUAUGGAUUGUAAACCUCUUUUGUCGGGGAGCAAAAGACGCCACGUGUGGCGUUCCGAGAGUACCCGAAGAAAAAGCAUCGGCUAACUCCGUGCCAGCAGCCGCGGUAAUACGGAGGAUGCGAGCGUUAUCCGGAUUUAUUGGGUUUAAAGGGUGCGCAGGCGGAAGAUCAAGUCAGCGGUAAAAUUGAGAGGCUCAACCUCUUCGAGCCGUUGAAACUGGUUUUCUUGAGUGAGCGAGAAGUAUGCAGAAUGCGUGGUGUAGCGGUGAAAUGCAUAGAUAUCACGCAGAACUCCGAUUGCGAAGGCAGCAUACCGGCGCCCAACUGACGCUGAAGCACGAAAGCGUGGGUAUCGAACAGGAUUAGAUACCCUGGUAGUCCACGCAGUAAACGAUGAAUACUAGCUGUCCGGGCCGAAUGACCCCUGGGUGGCACAGCGAAAGCGUUAAGUAUUCCACCUGGGGAGUACGCCGGCAACGG